AUGACAAAUUCUCCCUCCCUGAUGCAGUGCACUUGCUGCAACUGCAAUUCCAAGCGUUCUUCCUCCCUGCUGGGGUGGCAUCUCCAAGGGACACGAGGAAACCACGCCAGCUCCCAGCUCCUUCCAGGGAAUCUCACGUGGAGUCCCUGCUGUCACCCGGCCAUCUCACAGGACACACAGGGGCUGGGCGCUGUCGCAAACAAAGCCAUCGACUCUGUUGACAGGAGAGGGUUGAGACGAGUGCCAGGAGGGUUCCAUUUACACAACAGCCAGCUGGAAGAGGAGCACAAAGCUCUGCUGGUGAUGCAAAACAAAGCUUUGAGCCAUCAUGAUACUUUCCCAAUGGCUUGCAGGGAAACUGUUCCUAGUUGUGACCGCACCAGCGAUGCUGCUGUAACCAGAUCCCCCCCAGUUCAGCUGAAGAUUUUAAAGAACACAGACCCAGGCUGGAGACCAGAGCAGGAAAGAAUUGGUGCUGUUUGAUAUUUAGGCCCAUUUGUUGCCAAGCCAGAGGCUGUCAGCUUAGGGGCUGAAAACACUUGGAGCACAGAGCCGGGUUCUGGAGCCUUAACCAACACAAAGCACAGGAUUUAUAUUAAUAAAGCUCUUGAUUUCAGUUCUUUCUGAGGGUUAGUGCUCCAUAUCUUCCUGAUGAGAUGACUCUGUGCAGAAAACUCCCUUCAUGUUUUUGAAAUGCAGAAUUCAGUAAUCUAUUUUCUGAUGCUCUUCCCUGUGUUCUUAUGCACAGUGCCAGGGAUGGGAGCUGCCACAAAAUGCCACCAUUUUAGCCAGUGGCUUAGCACCAGUCACAUCCCACAGCCCAGUAUACAGGAGCCUCUGAACUUCAGUUGACAUUGAACCCAUUUUUAUCUCUAUAUAAAAACACAUUGCUGUUUUUAAAAUUCCUUCUACAAAGAACCAGAGGUUUCUUCAGCAGCAGAACCCAGUGUGAUGGUUGAGCCACACAACCAAAUCCUAUAUGCCAACACAGAACAGCAAAAGAGUUUACUCUCACUUAUGGUGUGGUGGAUAUAUUAGAAAUAGCACCUUUUUUUUAGCCUGUUGUCGGGAAAAAAUAGGAAUAUCACAGUGCCAGUCUUUGCCCUGCCUCCCCUUGCCCCCAACUGUGUCUGCUCACCUCACAAGGGUUCUCCCCAAACAGGGAUUUCGUCACUAGACAGGACUGUGGCCUUCCAGGCUGCAAAAAAAUUACGUUUUAAGAGAAAACCAAAGAAAGCAAACAUAAAAAAAGACAAAUCCAUGUGAUUUGAUACCCAAAUAGGACAACUGCAAAGGAUAUAAAUCCCCUAGGACUAGUCAGAUUACCAAGUCCUAUACUUGGCCAUUUUUAACACCUACUUGUUGUAUUAGCUCUACAUCCAGAUGUGAUUUUUACCUGUGUGCAAUGCCCAGGGGAAGGAAAAAAAAAAAACCUCAGAAAUUACACUGGAAAUACUUCAGGGCAAGGCUUUAGCACAAACCCCAUAGUCCAAACCCGCAAGCUACAGGCUGCUCUUCUCACAUUCUGCAUUGGACUGGGCAGCACAUCCAGCACAAAAUAAACACCGAGCAACCAUCCUCUGAGCUUUGGUUUCAUCAAACAUCAUUUUGAUACCACAGCAACAUGAGAGUGUUUAAAUGAAGAGGAGUGACCCCACGUCUGUGAAGUUACCACUCCUUCACUCCAGAGAAAUCACAAAGAGAAAUAUUUGUGCAUCAACACCUGCUGUGCUCUAAAGCCUCUCCUCCAACACGGCAUGGGAGAAGUUUCUUGUCUGCCUUAGGCUUUUAUUUUCACCUCUACAGAUCUCACAGUGCAGCUUUUUAACUCUUUGGGCUAAGACCAAAGCUUGAAAGACCGUGGUUUUCUUCUGUAUAGAGGAGGAGUGGAGGUUUGUAUCGCUUUCUGGCACUGGAAAUUCAGGUUUUGUUUAGCUUGGAAAUAUCAUGGAUGUAGCUCCAGUAACUCUUCAGGGUGGUAAAAGUUCAGCACUCACAAGGCAAUUCUCAGUCAUUUAUCCUCAACUGCCAAAGGAAAGUAAUUUAGAGUCCCACAGGGUGUGCCAGCCUGAAAAAUGUGGAAUCAUCCCAACAGGCAGCUUCUUGCUCCUCUGAAACUCCCUGCCAGCAAAGGCCUACGAAGAGUACAAGGUGUAUCUCCAAACCAACACAGCCCUAGUGAGGGAAUAAAAUCCAAAUCCCUGUCCACACUGGCUUAUUCUAAACAAGGCCUUAGACACAGGAGCUACAACCACUGUUCACACAGCUACCACAGAGAGCAGGGUAUGAAAUCCAGCUUGGCCACCUUAAUUUUGGGCAGAAAGAAGGAUAAAGUCAUAGUUGUGCUAGAAAUCCCUGCAGCAAGCAGUCAGUGAAAUAAUUUCUCCUAAGGGGCUCCUCCAGGCGUGGGUCAGCCAGCCAGUGGCAUCCAUGGAAUCCUGGUGCAAUACCCUCAUUAGGGGUGGCUCUCGACCCCCAGCACUCCCCGUGCACUAAUGACUGCAGGGAGUUGCGCCUCCCAGUCACGUGUGACCCGGCAGAGACCAGCACCAGGUGCUUUUCAGUACCUUUGCAACGCAACACAAGAAAUGACACCCAGUAAGGAAGCGUUUCCCUUCUUCGCGGCAAGCGAGCAGGACUUUGAGGAAUGGAGUAAUAAACCAGCUGCGUCUCGCAGGAGCAGGAGAAAAAAAAAAUGCAAUUCAUGGGGACCCUGGUCAGCAUCAAAGCCAUUUAAGAUGUUCAACGCUCCCUCCGACCUCCACUGCCUUUGCCUGAGCAAAACUAGGAGGAAUAGACUAUCCCUCAUAGGUCUGGAGGCUUGGAGGGAAAGGGGCCCCAUAGUUUUGCUCCCUGGAGGCACCCGCUCUCCCCACCCCUUUUGUGUGUAUUUUUUUUUUUAACGUGCCACACAUCAGCACAAUGCUGACAAAGGCUUUGUAUGUUUUCUGCCUAUGCAGCAGUUCAAGACACACAACUCUGGAUUUUUUGAAAGGGAAAGGGGGAGGGAGCUGCCCUUUGCUGUACUAUUUAAUUGCCCCGCUUGCUCUUCUGCAUGACCACAGGGAAGGGAAAAAGCACCAAGGUUUAAAAACAGAACCAUUUUUAGUAGCCAAAAGGGUAAAACUCAGUCUUCUCACGAGGUACAGUGGAGCUCAGAGUAAAACCUACCAGAGACAAGAAAAAAAUUGUAAAUCACCAGGGUUUCUUCUCUGGAGUUGGAUGUGACCCCAGAAAACAGCUCAUCCAUCCUCAUUCGCUGCUGUUACAGUCUCCACAUUUGCAUACCUGCCAAUGCACAUUCCAGCACUGAAAAAAAAAAAGGAGGGAAAGGUCUGGAAAGCUAGACUGUCGUUUUUUCCACCUGCCAGGAGCAGCUCAACGAAGCCUGGGUGGCUGAGCUCCAAGGAGCAGCGAGCAGAGCACAUUAGCACCCUUCUGGAGUUCCCAUCUCACACGCACAUGCGUGAUUUGGACAGUGCUGACAAACAGCUUCCUUCAAAAAUAAGGAUGAGUAAUCCACAGCAGCGCUGCUUUAUUUAUUUAUUUUAAAGGCCACAAGUCAGAGCUUUUUCCAGAAGCAUCAGCCUUAGUGAACCAUCAAGCACUGGGAAGAGGAAGCCCUGGGACCCACUCACGCUCUGCAGACAGAAGUAACCACAGGAACACUGCGGGUUUGUGUGGCCUGUGUGUGACACGCAGAUACAGCUGGAGCCUUGUCCCUCAUGCUUCUGGAAAGGCCAGAUCCCACUGCCUGGGUGACUCCUGGAUCCCUGCUUGGUUUGGAGGGAUCUGCUGAGGAGAGGGGUUAUGUAAACAAUAUAUUGUUUCCCUUGGAAAUAAACAAACAAACCAAAAAAAAAAAAAGGAGGAAGAAGAAAAAAUCCAAACCAAACCAACUGAGAAAAAAAAAAAAAAAGGCAUGAAACAGCUUUAACCCAUAACUGCAGCAUCCCCCUGAGUGAGGGGAUGUGCUGGAAAAAAGCAAGGUGCAGGGAUUUGGGAUCAAAGCACAGCACCUGAAUCGCUCGGUGGGCCCAAGUACCCCCAGCAAGGUCACUCUGGCUCACAGGGACAAACAUCAGUGCUCCAGUGCAAAGCUGCGGUGGAACCGCAGUGCAGGCAGCACUGCAGGAGGUCACUUAGGGACUGCAAAAAGGGGAAUGGAUUAAAAAAAAAAUAAAAGUAAAAAAUCCAUAAGCAGAUGUUUACUGACAUGCAGCAAAUCACCAGCUCGGCUCUGGAGAGCUGCAUGGCUGGAGGGAGAACAGCCCAGUUCCCAAAUACUCUGCAUCCACAGAUUUAGGUUACAGCUUUUAGCCAGCCCCACACCCCACCCCACCCACCCACUCGCCACCCCCCCCCCCCCCCCCCCCCCCCCCCCCCCCCCCCCC
rnacentral:lncRNA from 12 species